CGGCGCCUGGCAUAUUACCGAGAGCUACCCUCAGAGGAGAUCGUCAGCAGCAGAUCGUCUGCCCUAUCAACUUUUGAUGUUACUUUCUGCGCCUACCAUGGUGACCUGGGAUAAGAGGGAAUCAGGGUUCGAUUCCGGAGAGGGAACCUGAGAAAUGGCUACCGCAUCCAAGGAAGGCAGCAGGUGCGCAAAUUUCCCACUCCCGAUGCGGGGAGGUAGUG
rnacentral:rRNA from 1 species